rnacentral:rRNA from 1 species
UUGAACGCUGGCGGCAUGCUUUACACAUGCAAGUCGAACGGUAACAGGGAGCUUGCUCCGCUGACGAGUGGCGAACGGGUGAGUAAUGCAUCGGAACGUACCCAGUCGUGGGGGAUAACUACGCGAAAGCGUAGCUAAUACCGCAUACGCCCUGAGGGGGAAAGCGGGGGACCUUCGGGCCUCGCGCGAUUGGAGCGGCUGAUGUCGGAUUAGCUGGUUGGUGGGGUAAAGGCCUACCAAGGCGACGAUCCGUAGCGGGUCUGAGAGGAUGAUCAGCCACACGGGGACUGAGACACGGCCCAGACUCCUACGGGAGGCAGCAGUGGGGAAUUUUGGACAAUGGGCGCAAGCCUGAUCCAGCCAUGCCGCGUGAGUGAAGAAGGCCUUCGGGUUGUAAAGCUCUUUCGGCAGGAACGAAACGGUGGAGGCUAAUACCUUUCAUCAAUGACGGUACCUGAAGAAGAAGCACCGGCUAACUACGU